rnacentral:rRNA from 1 species
GGUUAAGCGACUAAGCGUACACGGUGGAUGCCCUGGCAGUCAGAGGCGAUGAAGGACGUGCUAAUCUGCGAUAAGCGUCGGUGAGGUGAUAUGAACCGUUAUAACCGGCGAUUUCCGAAUGGGGAAACCCAGUGUGUUUCGACACACUAUCAUUAACUGAAUCCAUAGGUUAAUGAGGCGAACCGGGGGAACUGAAACAUCUAAGUACCCCGAGGAAAAGAAAUCAACCGAGAUUCCCCCAGUAGCGGCGAGCGAACGGGGAGGAGCCCAGAGCCUGAAUCAGUGUGUGUGUUAGUGGAAGCGUCUGGAAAGGCGCGCGAUACAGGGUGACAGCCCCGUACACAAAAAUGCACAUAUUGUGAGCUCGAUGAGUAGGGCGGGACACGUGGUAUCCUGUCUGAAUAUGGGGGGACCAUCCUCCAAGGCUAAAUACUCCUGACUGACCGAUAGUGAACCAGUACCGUGAGGGAAAGGCGAAAAGAACCCCGGCGAGGGGAGUGAAAAAGAACCUGAAACCGUGUACGUACAAGCAGUGGGAGCCUCUUAAUGGGGUGACUGCGUACCUUUUGUAUAAUGGGUCAGCGACUUAUAUUCUGUAGCAAGGUUAACCGAAUAGGGGAGCCGAAGGGAAACCGAGUCUUAACUGGGCGUUAAGUUGCAGGGUAUAGACCCGAAACCCGGUGAUCUAGCCAUGGGCAGGUUGAAGGUUGGGUAACACUAACUGGAGGACCGAACCGACUAAUGUUGAAAAAUUAGCGGAUGACUUGUGGCUGGGGGUGAAAGGCCAAUCAAACCGGGAGAUAGCUGGUUCUCCCCGAAAGCUAUUUAGGUAGCGCCUCGUGAAUUCAUCUCCGGGGGUAGAGCACUGUUUCGGCAAGGGGGUCAUCCCGACUUACCAACCCGAUGCAAACUGCGAAUACCGGAGAAUGUUAUCACGGGAGACACACGGCGGGUGCUAACGUCCGUCGUGAAGAGGGAAACAACCCAGACCGCCAGCUAAGGUCCCAAAGUCAUGGUUAAGUGGGAAACGAUGUGGGAAGGCCCAGACAGCCAGGAUGUUGGCUUAGAAGCAGCCAUCAUUUAAAGAAAGCGUAAUAGCUCACUGGUCGAGUCGGCCUGCGCGGAAGAUGUAACGGGGCUAAACCAUGCACCGAAGCUGCGGCAGCGACACUAUGUGUUGUUGGGUAGGGGAGCGUUCUGUAAGCCUGUGAAGGUGUGCUGUGAGGCAUGCUGGAGGUAUCAGAAGUGCGAAUGCUGACAUAAGUAACGAUAAAGCGGGUGAAAAGCCCGCUCGCCGGAAGACCAAGGGUUCCUGUCCAACGUUAAUCGGGGCAGGGUGAGUCGACCCCUAAGGCGAGGCCGAAAGGCGUAGUCGAUGGGAAACAGGUUAAUAUUCCUGUACUUGGUGUUACUGCGAAGGGGGGACGGAGAAGGCUAUGUUGGCCGGGCGACGGUUGUCCCGGUUUAAGCGUGUAGGCUGGUUUUCCAGGCAAAUCCGGAAAACCAAGGCUGAGGCGUGAUGACGA